rnacentral:rRNA from 1 species
UACGUAGGUGGCAAGCGUUAUCCGGAUUUACUGGGUGUAAAGGGCGUGUAGGCGGGACUGCAAGUCAGAUGUGAAAAUUAUGGGCUCAACCCAUAACCUGCAUUUGAAACUGUAGUUCUUGAGUGAUGGAGAGGCAGGCGGAAUUCCGUGUGUAGCGGUGAAAUGCGUAGAUAUACGGAGGAACACCAGUGGCGAAGGCGGCCUGCUGGACAUUAACUGACGCUGAGGCGCGAAAGCGUGGGGAGCAAACA